AAACGACUAGAGAUAAUAGGGUACUACCAGAAUUUAACAGCUCAGUUCUCAUUGUGACAAGUGACUAAAUAAAACCAACGCAAAUCAAUUUGGGGGGAAGAAAAGGAGGGGUAAUAUUUAUUUUGUUCUUUGUUACCGCGGCUGUAACAAUGUUAACGGGGUUUCAAAUAUAUAUUUUAUUAUCUUCUAAACCACGUGGUUCAGAAAUAUUCCGACGUAGGGUUUUUUUGUUUGUGAUAUAUCCUUUAGGCUCAAACAGAGUUAAAAGGAAUUCACUCUAAAGUAAUAGUCCCGCUGACAUUUCUUUGGAAUGGAGCUCGUGCAACGCUAGACUGUAAGGGUUUUUUAAGCCAACUUUUUAAUCUUAUCCAUAUAAAUGCGAUAAGCGCCUUCCAUAUGUAACACAUUCUGGUUGAAAAUAUUUCACCACUCUUACGGAACUGAUGACAAAUACUCCCAGAGGCUAUUUCUGAUGGAUGGGAACCCUGACAAACAGCUGUUAUAACAAUAUUUUAAUAAAAACAUAGCGUUGUGAAGGUCUAAAUAAAGCACAAGGAAACCCAUAACGAGAACUUGAGAGUCAAAAGCAUAUAUAUAUAAUAGAUACAUACACAGAUAUACAUAUAUUGAUAUAUACGCAGACACUUUCAUUUCCCCUUGCCUAUUAAUUUUAGCACGUAUCUCUUGAUGAGUGGAAGUUGUCCUAUAGCUAAGAUAGCCAUUAACUAUAUAAGAGCACUAGCUGGUCUGUGACGCCUAAAUUUAAAACAUUUUGAAGACCUUUCGCAACAGCCAGAAAGGGGGGAGGGGGGAGUCCCAUUACUGUAAAAUGUUAUUGCAGAUCAAAGAUUAAACCCAAUAUAUAGUUUAUGUAGCUUUAUUAUGAUUAUUAUUAAACUCUGCCUUAUUUAUUUUAAACCUGGCCUUGAAAUUAUAUGGCACACGAAGCUUUGUAUUUCACACGUAUCUAGGUCGUUUUAUUUAUGUUUCAGUCUGUAAUUUAGUCGGGGGGGGUCUUUAAUUUCCAAAUGUGAGCAGCGGAAGCUCAAUUAUAAACAUAUUCUUCCAGUUUGUUGCUUUGUAUAAGUGGAUGAGCUCUCAAUACCAAAGUCACUCUAGUGCUGGAAGCUCCGAAGAAGGGGAAUGAAAAUGUCUGACCUCGUGGUUUCAAUUUUUAAAAAGUCUGUGUAGCAGAUAGAAUUCAAUAUAAGACGUUUUGACACGUGUGGGGUGUGGAUUAUUUGUCAAUGAAACGCAAAUAAAGUUUGAUAGUAAUAUAGCCUUUUGAUUUUUUUCCCCCAGAGUUUGAUUUAAACUUGAACCUGCCCCUUCUCUGGUGCACAGUCAUGACUGUGGUCAAAAGUGAAAUGAUGCAUUUGAAAUAAAAAAGUACAUCUUGAUUUUAAAUCGCAGUCGCCGCCAAAGAUGUUUACUAAUAUUUUUUCCUCUGUCUUGUAAUUUUCAAAAAGAGGUCUAACAUUGCACAAAAAUAAAAACCUAGCAUGCUGGAUACUCGGAUCCUAAGUUAUUUCUCCUUUUAUGAUGUAUGGUAGGAUGGUGGUGGUGUGGUGUUUUCUUUUAAAUCUGUGUUUUCUUUCUCUUCACCGCCUGAUGUGAUGUAAACUGUUUGAAGUUCAACAACAGGGCUAAGUUUUAUUGUAUUUCCGGUACAAUAGAUUUAUAUACCAUCCCGUCCAGUCUUUUAAAGGCUUUGCUAAUGCAAUCAAACUAAGUUAUAGUCAAGUUUCAGGCUCCUCCCUACGUCUCUUGAACUCGGACUCGUUGUUGUGGUGCGUUUUGUUUGUUUGGUUUUUCUUCUAAUGAACUUUUAAACGCUAGGAAACUUGCCCUUUAGAAACACGGCUAUCUUUGCUUUAUUGCCUUUCGAGUGAGUUGAUUUAUUUAAUCCACUUAUAAAAGUAUACAGCACACGAGAAGGAUAAGAGCGACUUCACCUGAAGAAGCAGCGAUGUUGGGAUUGCUACAGAAAGCUCCGUAUAAUAACUGAUUCGUUUCCAAAAUAACAUCAACUCCUGCUCUCCACCUCCCACCCACCCCGCCACAAACACGAAUGACAAUGAACAACUCUUGUUUAAAUGCAACAAUAAACCCCAACUUCUUAUUCUUUCGCAGCGUUCCAGCCUGCCUAAAAUUCUCUCAACUCCAUUCAGUAUGAGUCUAAGCUGUUGGCAAAGUGCUGUAAAAAUAGCUAUUUGAAAGACGCCCCCCCCCUUUUUUUUUUUGCAAGGUCUCAUGCCAUAGAUUUUAUUGAAGCAAUUAUUUAACGACCUAAUUCUAGUGUGCUUUUCUUUUCCUUCUGUCCCUGGGUGGAAGCCACCGGCCUUCUCUCACUACCACGGCUUGUUAAUUCCAUUUCCCUCUUCCCCUCCAAUAAUAUGUCUGGGUCCCAAUUAUAUCCCAAGACCCAAUUCGGAUCCCACUAACCCAGCAGCCACUCUACUGAAGUCAAUGGAGUUCCAUGCGUGUGAAAAUCCAUAUGCAACCAGAGGAGACGCAGACCCCCACUUAUUUCAAACAAUUUAUAAUAUUAUUUCAAAGGGCGAAAGACUCUAGCAUCCACACUACUGGUUCAAAGCAACAAUGCCACUUUAUUUUAAUUUUCUUUCCCACAGCUUGUCCUUUAAAAGGCACACAAGGUUUUACUGUACCCGGGGUCUAAAUGCGUUAUUAACUGCUAAGAUUACAAACCUCAUUUCGGAUUGUGUUUUUAGCCAGAGUAAAGUUUCGUUUCUUGGAAAAUUGCCCACAUGUGUAAGUUGUUUUGCUUCUCUUCAGACCAGGAAUUUUUUCCCCCCCUCUCACCACUUGCGGAUUUUGAACAGACGGCGGUAUUCAGACUCAGAGGCAGCACAGGAAAUGGUAAAGGUAGAUCCUUCUGCUUUUAGGCUACAGAAACUUAUUUCACUUUUUGAAAGAAAUGUUUUACUCUUCGGGACCUUUUUGAUGAUGAUGAUGAUGAUGGUUAUUCGCCCUCCUCAUCAGUUUUGCAAGCACCCCUGACUGAAUUUCCUUUCAUAACCUCUUAGACUUAUGUAAAUGUAAACAUCCUGUUUGUUUCAUGCUGAGUUUUGAUUUCUGUUUCCUGUCUCUUUUUAUGCCUUUUCAAUCAGUCAUUAGCUUGGUUAUUAUUAUUUAAUGCUGAAUGUUCUUCACAGCUGCAGAAUGAACGCUAGGAUAUUUGGGGUUAUCUUGGAAUCUCGCCCUUCAAUCUCUCGAUAGCUAUGAAGUUCACUCCCAACUUUUUAUUCACUCUAUAUUGCCCUUAUCUAUUGAAAAGAAAAACUGCAUGGCACAGUGAAUUUCUCUUAAAUGACAAUAUAGGAUACAUAUUGUGCACAGACGCCAUAUUGGCCUCUUGGCUCAGAAAUCCUGGAUCAAAUCCUACAAUCCUUACUCAAUUCUGGCUUAAGAUAAAACUGCUAUUGAGGUCAAUGUUUUUUUUUUCUUUUUUUUUGCCGGAGAAAGGAAUACCGGAUCAGAGCUUUUGUGUUCGCAAAACUUUUCCAUCUUCUUCAAGUGGACGAUAAGGAAGAAAAAUCUCAUGGAAAAAGGUGCCAUUUCUAAUAGAUGACAACAAUAGUUUUUUUUCUUUAAAAAAAAUAGUGGUUAAAUAUGUUUCCGGUAAGCAAUGGAUCAUCUGUUUUUUCUUGUGCCAGAUCUUAUAAAUCAGUAAAAUGUGACUGUUACACAGAGUUACAAUCUGCGUAUUUAAAACACACUUUAUAUGUGCCUGUUUUCAGCAUAGAACUUUCCGCCCAAGUAGCUGAUUGUUCAGGGUGAAAUUUGGCAAAUGUGUAUUUCAAUGGGAAGAGCUAUUUAGAAAUUAUUUCUUCCCCUCCCGCAAACAAUAAAUAUUAUUUAUAAAUAGCAUCUGGGUUCAAAAAGCUUUGGCUUUCCAGUUCAAGCACAAAAUAUUUCGCAUUUUUCCUCACAGCCAAAAGGAUUUGGAAAGUUUGGCAGGGGUGCUGAAAACAAAACAAAACAAACAAACAAAAAGCGACUCUUCUAGAUUUCUGGGAAAUAACUGUUCCCAGUUCCGCUUCCUGUAUCCAGUUCAUAAAUGCAGAGCUCUAAAAUGAAUCCAACUAGUACAUAAAUCAAGCAGAACUUGUAUAUCAUCUGUGCAAAUAUACUAAAGUUGCACCAAUGCAAUUUAUAUUGAGAAUCUCGAAUGAGGUCAAUUUCUCUGUUGCUUUUCCUGGUCCAAGUUAUUUGCAAAGCACUUAACUUUUCAUGCUGUUUCUGGUGUAUGUCGUUAUUAUUAUUCAAUUCUCUCAAAUGUACACCAAACAAAACAGUACACACAUAAAAGUGCAUCCUCACAACAGAUAGAUCUGGUAUUAAAAUAUAGCUGUGAAGAAGACCUCAGACCAUCCUCCAGCCCUCCUGCCCCCCAAAAAAGGAUACAAGAAGAUGAAAUAUGGUGGUGUAAAUUAAAAAUAAACCACUGGACAAACAGAAACCUCCAAAGGAGCCAAAAUAGAUUAAUUCUGCAGAUCUCCUUGUGUGGUUUCCAUUCACUAGGGAUCGCAAGACCUUUGGAUUCUGUUUCAGAGUUACACUCUUGCAGUCUUUUGGGUUUUAAUUUAUAUACUACAGAAAAGUAUCUACUCAGCAGCUGACAUGCGUCAUAAUUAUUUAUAGGAGGUGCACUAGGAUUUUUCCAAGAAUAUAUUUAUUACAGGUAAGACAUGUCCAAUUUAUCUUGCAAACCCAGAACAGGUGUUUGGCUUCAAUUAAUGUUCAAUAGUUCCAUACACACUUAUUCACCAUCACCACCACCGCCGUGGCUGUUUAUCCAUCAUUUAUAUCAUAAACACACUCCCACCAGCCAACCAAGUUUGAGCGCCACAAUGCACUUAAAUCUGCCCACUCCUUUUCAAGCUAUCAUAACAUUUGGAGAGUUCCUCCGAAUCCGUUAUGAGAGAGACUGAGUUUUGGAAAUCAUUCCUGGAAGGCAAUAAAGCUGAGAAAGAUGACAAGUACGGAGCAAGCUCCUAUUUCACUUUUAAUAACAUGGGGGUAUUUUCAUGUCGGAGCCUCUUCGACUCUUAGGGAAGUUUAAAAAAGAAGUUAGAAAACGCAAGGAUUACCCAAGGCGUUUCACACAAACCCUUUUUGUUACUGGUACACACUGGGGAUUGUUCCUGAAGGAGUCGGUCCCGCACACUUACCCAAGAGAAUAACUAUGAUUAGAUGAGUAGCCCCAUGGAACUCAGUGGAUCAGAAUUCUGUUCUUCCAUCGAUUUAUAUCCAAUUGGAAAUGGAGUUACUUUGGAUUCACCCUGAUGUAAGUGAGGGCAGAAUCCGAACCAGUGGGACUCCUCACCUGUGUAAAUGUAUUCACGGCACUAUUUCAAGAUCCCAGACCGGUAGAUAUGAAAAUAUUAUAAAAGGGUCUGCAAACCGUGAAAGAAAUUGCGCUUUUGUUGUUAUCGCCAGAUGUAUGUAUUGAUGUGAUUAAAAAUAUGAAAUACA